CUUUUCUCCAGAGCAGCAUAAGCCAGGCUCUAUGGAAUGUUGGGUGAGCUGCUUGAGGAACUCCAAGGCCUGUCCCACAGUCUUCCAGCCUCCGACUCUCCGGCCCUCAGCGAGGAAGUCCCACUGGUUUUUUUGGUUGGUUUUUUUUUUUUUUUUUAAGGUUUUUUGGUUUUUUUUUUUUUUUCUCAUUCCUGUCUUGGGAGCUUUCCCCAACCAGGAGAGUGAAGAUGGGCGGAGCUGUCACACCAACUGUUAGCCUGCCUUGGCUGAGAGGAGAGGAGGCGAGGAGGGAGCGACCACCCAGCUUUAGUCGUUUUAAAACAGCUCCUGACCCUAGAAGAAGGGAAAUGGAGAUGAAGACCCAAUUGACUUGGUAUGAAGUUUAAAUGCCCCUUCAAGACUUGGGGGUCGAGGACGGUGAGAUUGGCUCAGUGGAUAGAUUCACUUGCCUCUAAGCCUGACAACCUAAGUUAAUAUCCUCUACCCACAUAUGGAAGGAAAAAAAUGAUUUCCAAAAGUUGUCCUCUGACCUCCACACAGAGACCAUGGCCUGUGCACCACCCCCCGAAAAUGUAAUAUAUUUUUUAAAAAGACAUGGGGACUUCCAUUCAGUGUCUCCCAAUGUUUGGGGAUUUCCUUUCCUUAUUUCCUUACUCCCUGUCGGUGCCCUAGAGGAGACAGAGAGAGUCUAACUACGGAGAGGUCAUUCUCUAGGUUGGUUGGUGGAAUAUUCAGGACUCCUGGGAAGGCUCCAACUGG
ensembl:lincRNA Gm3764 predicted gene 3764